rnacentral:tRNA from 1 species
UUAAUUGAAGCCAAAAAUAGAGGCCUAUCACUGUUAAUGAUAAAACUGAAAAUCAAUUCCAAUUAAG